GGUGGUUAGGGUGCAGGGUUGCCAGGUGUUCGGCCAGCGGGAUGGCUGGGUAGCUACGUGCGGAAGGGAUAAGCGCUGAAAGCAUCUAAGCGUGAAGCCCCCCUCAAGAUGAGAUUUCCCAGUAUGUAAGACCCCUUGUAGACGACGAGGUUGAUAGGUUGGGGGUGGAAGUGCCGCAAGGCAUGGAGCUGACCAAUACUAAUCGGUCGAGGGCUUAUCCAA
rnacentral:ncRNA from 1 species